rnacentral:lncRNA from 1 species
CGCAACGUGUGGAAUAAUAACAAAUAAAAAUUAAGAUGCUUACGCUGGGAGCAGUACCAAUGAAAUGAGUUAUACGGCUUAUACCAUGGAUUUCUCAAGACCUGGAUGUCCACCUACCACGCAAUAUUUCUUUGAGAUACCGUAAACAAACUUUUUUACGGUUCAGUUCCUAGAAUAAACUCGUGGAUUAAUUUUAACUACUUUGAAACGUAGAUGAAACACUACUAACAAAUGGAACCCUCAAAUAUUCAUCUUCAGGAGCCUUUCCUUUGUACAAAGGAGAUAAAUCAACUCAAGAAAUUCUUUGUCAUUGCUGGCGAUAUCUACAAUGAAGUUAUCUGCUAUAUCUGUUCAAUAUUCAUAUCAUUUUGAAUAGGAAUUUCAGGAAUUGCUCUCGUCAGCAUCGGUUACAUAGGAAUAAGAAGGCUGCUGUUCCUAUUUUUGCGUCUGAGGCUCUUAGUCUAUAGCAUAGCUAUAAUUAAUAAUAGUAUAACACUCGAGUCCUGAUUCGAAUGUUUUCAAUUUCAUAGAUUCGUCUCUGACUCAGAUGCAUUUUGAAUCGAAUGCACGAGGACUAGGAAAAGUUGGACUUUACUAGAGUACUGGUCUCUCUCUUAAUGAAAGAUCCAUUUUAUAAGUUUCUCAAACCCUUAAGAAUCUCUUUAUGUAAUGUUAACAUUAUCUUCAUCAACCCUACUUUCCAAAAUGCAUUUGGCUUUAAAGACAAUAAGACCCUCCGUUUCAACUUGAACUGCAGUGAUUUAUAUUUUAUAAUGAUGUUAGAUAGCUGUUAGAAAAAUAAUGAAUGGUAAGCUACCAUUCAGUCUUGAUAAAAAGUGACAUUUGUGGUUGAGUGAUAUGGAUAAGAAGGUUUUUAUAACCUCGAAGGAAGCUGGAAAGAAUAUAUCAGAAAUGGUGAUUAGAGAAACUUUUCCUGCAUUACUGGACUAUGUGGACUGGUUUCAGGUUCAUUAAAGGUUUUAACAAAUUAUUCUCUACUUAAGUUUCCAAAAAAUUGGAAUCCUCAAGAAUUAUGGAAGGCUACUGUUCCGAAGGAAAUCAUGAUAUUAAUUUAUAAUAUAUUUUUAUUUAAUAGAUUAUAUUAAUAUGUAUAUUUCUUGUUGUAUUUUUAUAUCUCGUAUCAACUUUAUAUUUGGAGAAGGAAAAUCACCCUACUUCUUUAAUGCAAAUAUCCCCCUCCAUGCAAGUUACUACAGGGAUUCCGCUGUCAACAGAAAAUUACCUAAAGCAAAGAUUCAAGGAUUUGAACGAUAAUGAAAAAGUAGUGUCGAUCCUUUUAGGCAAAGUAUAUUCUCAAAAGGUUGAAUAUAUGAAUGGAAAAAUUUAUGGAUUCAACGAAGAUGGAAUAAAUAACAGUUCCUGCUUUUGAGUAAAUUCGAUUGCUGGUCAAUUAUGUAGUUCCCAUGAUACCGAUAGUGAAUAUAUCAUCUAGAACAAUGAAAGAAUGGUAUUUCAAAGUUUUAGAACUACUAACACCAAUAGCAUUUAACGUAGUGGCAACAAUUUCUGAUAGUCACGUUGCUAAUGUCAUUUUUUUAUUCUAAUUAACUGUGGGGUUCAUUUGAAGAAUAUAUAGAAAAUCAUUUCAAGCCUUCCUCUAUUUUUUUAUUAUUUGAUACGGUUCAUUUAUUCAAAACAUAUAUAUACAAAAACCAUCUAAACAGAAUACAUUUGUACGUCCCAAUUUUGAACUUACAAGAACAGUCAUAUUUUUCACUCAAAUCCUUGAUAUUUUUAACUUUGUCCCUCUCAACGGACCUUUUUAUUAAAUCAUCAAGUUUGAUUUGUUCGUUUCCUAAUCUAAAAAUUAAAAUUGGUUUGUAUUUAAUUUUAAAGCAAAAGAACAAAAUAUCUUGCCUUUGCUCCGAAGAUGAACUCACGCUAAGUCUUGGAUUAGAUGAUACGUUCGAAUAAUAGGAAGGAAGACCUAGAUAUAAAGUUGGUAAAGCAAGUUUUUUUAAUUUUUUCCGACCAUUUUGGAAUUUUUUUUGCUUCUAUAUAUAUUUGUGUCGCAUUUUUCUGCUUUGAAAUAUAAAUCGGCAAAAUGCUUGCUGCAUAUUUUUGAA